GACGAACCGUGCGAACGUUGUUCGGAAUCACUGGGCUUAAAGGGCGCGUAGGCGGGCAUGCAAGUCAGGGGUGAAAUCCCACGGCUCAACCGUGGACGUGCAUCCAAAACUGCGUCGCUAGAGUCUCGGAGAGGAAGGUGGAAUGCUUGGUGUAGAGGUGAAAUUCGUAGAUAUCAAGCAGAACACCUGCGGCGAAGGCGGCCUUCUGGACGAUGACUGACGCUGAGACACGAAAGCGUGGGGAGCAAACAGG
rnacentral:rRNA from 1 species